rnacentral:tRNA from 1 species
GCCUGGCUGACUCAGUCAGUAGAGCAUGUGACUCUUAAUCUCAGGGUUGUGAGUUCAAGCCCCAUGUUGGGCG